UGGAGUUCACGUGGCCCAUGCAAGGCCUUACCACCCUCAGCCUCUGCCUGCUCCACAUCUCUAUUCCCCGAGGGCUCCUCAGUAGUGGGACCGUCCCUAGGAGUGUUCGAAGGGUGAGGCCAGCGGGUCUUCGCUCAGGGACUGUCAAAGCCAACGCCGUACCCGACGAGAAAGAGAUGGCGAACCAGGGACCUGCAGCAGGCGGGAGGAGGGGCGGAGGGCUGGCGAGCUGUCUGAAGAGUCAUGUCUGGUCACCUGAUUCAUAAUUCCCAUCCAUCCCCGAAGCCCUCAGUGCCCGCCACCCUCCAGCAUCUCACCAGCACCAUGGCCUCCAGAUUGCAAAGCUCAUCAGACUGUGAAGUAAGGUGCUCCGGACCAACCUUGUGCAUUUCCUACCCGAAGGGAAAAACAGCCCCUUCUUCUCUCCUCACCACUCUGCUCUCAACGCCUCACUUCUGGUUCACGAAUGUGCGUUUCCCGCACACUAAGCAGCUCUCCACGCGUCUGCAGACAUCGCCGGGCUGUCCUGCCGUUGAACUCCGUCCUGACAUCGCCUACCCGGAGAGUCUCACAGGAUAUACCAACGUGGUUUCAGAAUAACACCAGCAUUUACAUGAUAACCUACUGAAUAACGG